GGCUUAGGCUGCUCCUGGUGGUCAGCACGUCAGUGAGGAGGGGACAGGCUGUUGUGCCAGUUCCAUCUUCAGCAUCACUGGCCUCACACAGGGUUGGCUUCACCUGAGCGCAGCCCCAACUCCAUCCCUUCAUGCUUCUCUGUACUAGAGUUGAGAAAUGCUGUUCCUACAGGGCUCAACAUCAGCCACUGCUUCUUCCAGGAGACCACCCUGGAGACAUAACCUGGGAUAUGGUUAAAGAGGUGGAGGGCUCUGGCUCACCCUGGAUCUGGGUGAUCUUUUAGGAUAUCUCUCUGGAUGCUCCUUCGCAUCCCCUCUGUGAUGUGGGGCAUGGUGCCGAGGAGCCCACCACACUGCUAUUGUCAUCAGCAUGGGCUUAACUGUGGUGAUUUGGGACAGAGAAAGAGUGGCCCACCACGUGCCAGAAAAAGGAGUGUUUGUGGUUAUUUAGGAAGGCUUGUUCAUCCAAGUUUUCUACAACUGCAGUAAUUUUGUGGAAACAUCCUAUGAUUCUCAGACACAGAGACGUCUAGCACAGACCGGGUGCGUAGGAAAGAGCUUGACCAUUGUCAUCACCUCUGGUUUCCCACUGCCUUAUCUCCGACAACGACACUGAAGCCAAGCAAGCAG